rnacentral:piRNA from 1 species
GGGAAUGGGAGCGGGAGUCCCUG